rnacentral:misc_RNA from 1 species
AUAAAAGGAAAAGGGAGAAGGCACUCCAAACCUUCGAACUCUUUUCAAAUCCUUGUAUUCAUCCCAAGUUCCUAAAAUUUUUAUAAAAAACUUGCAAAAGACCACCUACUAACGGAUGGCAUCUAAUGCAAACGA